ACCUCAGCAACACCAAGGUCCUGC
rnacentral:siRNA from 1 species